UGUGAGGCGGCCGGUUGCACGGUGUUUGGCUGUGAACCGAUUUGCUCAAACCCCAUCA
rnacentral:tRNA from 1 species